UGGCAAUCUUAGAAACAACGCUAUGAAACUCUCCACUGAGACUGGCCUUAGAAAUCAGAACUUAAACCCUGACACCAUGUGGAUCAUGGUGGGCGUGCUGGUGAUGCUGACUCAUGAACGGUCAUCAUCUGCACUCUGCUCUACUCCCUCUAUACCUGAAAUUCUUGACGUCCUGAGCUGUUGAGCUGUUACAAAGCUUGAUGUUGUAGUCUCCGUGGUGGCUUCUUGACGUGUUUGCUAGUGGCCAAGCCGCUGCAUUUAAAGC
rnacentral:lncRNA from 1 species